UACAGUCCAUGAGUGGCGGCGGUCGCUUG
rnacentral:sRNA from 1 species